GCCACCAAGGAGCGUGGGAUUGUUAUAACCCGUUCCACAUAUCCCAGCAGUGGAAGAUGGGCAGGACACUGGCUUGGUGACAACACUGCUGCUUGGGAUCAGCUAGCUAAAUCUGUUAUUGGCAUGAUGGAGUUCAGUCUCUUUGGAAUAUCUUAUACAGGAGCUGAUAUCUGUGGCUUCUUCAAAGAUUCAGAGUAUGAGCUGUGUCUUCGCUGGAUGCAGCUGGGUGCAUUUUACCCCUAUUCAAGGAAUCACAAUCAGAAAGGAACAAGGGUGAGUCGC